GUAGGUAUAGCUCAGAGGUAGAGUGCAUACUUACUAUGCAUGAGGUCUUGGGUUCAAGCCCCAGUACGUCCA
rnacentral:tRNA from 1 species